rnacentral:rRNA from 1 species
UUCCGGUUGAUCCUGCCAGAGGUUACUGCUAUCGGGGUUCGAUUAAGCCAUGCGAGUCAAAUGUUCUUCGUGAACAUGGCGAACUGCUCAGUAACACGUGGAUAAUCUACCCUUAGGUCUGGAAUAACCCCGGGAAACUGGGGAUAAUACCGGAUAGAUCAUAGAUGCUGGAAUGCCCUAUGGUCUAAAGCUCCGGCGCCUAAGGAUGAGUCUGCGGUCUAUCAGGUUGUAGUGGGUGUAACGUACCUACUAGCCGACGACGGAUACGGGUUGUGAGAGCAAGAGCCCGGAGAUGGAUUCUGAGACACGAAUCCAGGCCCUACGGGGUGCAGCAGGCGCGAACACUUUACAAUGCGGGAAACCGCGAUAAGGGAACCCCGAGUGCCAGCACCAAGUGUUGGCUGUCCAGAUGAUUAAAUCUCAUUUGUUAGCAAGGGCCGGGCAAGACCGGUGCCAGCCGCCGCGGUAACACCGGCGGCCCGAGUGGUAACCGUUUUUAUUGGGUCUAAAGGGUCCGUAGCCGGUCUGAUAAGUCUUUUGGGAAAUCUGGCAGCUUAACUGUCAGGCUUCUAAGAGAUACUGUCAGGCUUGGGACCGGGAGAGGUAAGGGGUACUCCAAGGGUAGGAGUGAAAUCUUGUAAUCCUUGGGGGACCAUCUGUGGCGAAGGCGCCUUACCAGAACGGGUCCGACGGUGAGGGACGAAAGCUAGGGGAGCAAACCGGAUUAGAUACCCGGGUAGUCCUAGCUGUAAACGAUGCUCGCUAGGUGUCAGGCACGGUGCGUCCGUGUUUGGUGCCGUAGGGAAGCCGAGAAGCGAGCCACCUGGGAAGUACGGUCGCAAGGCUGAAACUUAAAGGAAUUGGCGGGGGAGCACUACAACGGGUGGAGCCUGCGGUUUAAUUGGAUUCAACGCCGGG